AUGUGGGUGUACGCCGUGUGUGUCUCACUCAAAAACUCUAAGACUGAAGCCUUGCGAUUGUUCCUUAGUUCUGACAAUCUCUCUGCCCAUGAGGAUCUGUUACCUUCUUAUUGACUUAUUCCUGAUUAUGACCACAAUCAUUCCAGCCAUUAGUGAAUUCUUGAUCCGCAAGACAUGCUUGAAACAUUCUGGUGACUGUAAGAUAAAGUGCUCUAAAGAUCAACCACAACGAGGCUUCUGCGAGGGAACAUUUCUAACAUGUUGUCUUAUAAGAAAACCCUAGGCCGUUUGAUCCUUUGGAAACUACUAGGUCCUAGGUAACUCUGAUUGUGGUUCUUCGAUAGCUGAAUUGUUUCUUCCUGGCUACUUGCAAUAUUUUCUCUUUGAUCUGGCAAUUCUGAAAUUUAGCUAUGAUAUUGCUUGGAGUUCUUAUUUUGGGCUCUCUUUCAAGGAGGUGAAUUCUUUUUUUUUUUUUAAUUAAAGGUUUUUAUUGACAAAACA